UAGGGAAUCUUCGGCAAUGGACGGAAGUCUGACCGAGCAACGCCGCGUGAGUGAAGAAGGUUUUCGGAUCGUAAAGCUCUGCUGUAAGAGAAGAACGAGUGUGAGAGUGGAAAGUUCACACUGUGACGGUAUCUUACCAGAAAGGGACGGCUAACUACGUGCCAGCAGCCGCGGUAAUACGUAGGUCCCGAGCGUUGUCCGGAUUUAUUGGGCGUAAAGCGAGCGCAGGCGGUUAGAUAAGUCUGAAGUUAAAGGCUGUGGCUUAACCAUAGUAGGCUUUGGAAACUGUUUAACUUGAGUGCAAGAGGGGAGAGUGGAAUUCCAUGUGUAGCGGUGAAAUGCGUAGAUAUAUGGAGGAACACCGGUGGCGAAAGCGGCUCUCUGGCUUGUAACUGACGCUGAGGCUCGAAAGCGUGGGGAGCAAACAGGAUUAGAUACCCUGGUAGUCCACGCCGUAAACGAUGAGUGCUAGGUGUUAGACCCUUUCCGGGGUUUAGUGCCGUAGCUAACGCAUUAAGCACUCCGCCUGGGGAGUACGACCGCAAGGUUG
rnacentral:rRNA from 1 species